rnacentral:rRNA from 1 species
CCCUAUGGGGCGCAGCAGGCAGAUAAAGCCGUGGCGGGUUUUACGCUUUCCGGUGGUCGGGUCGGUGAAAUCGGUUUCGACUCGAUAUAUGGCGGGCUGGUCAUGACGGAUUAGAAUCUUUUGAGCCAACCACUGGUUGAAAUCCCGAGCGGCGCGGGAGUGCCAAUCAAAAGGGUGAACAUCUUCGGGCCGGGUGGGGCCUAAAUCGAUUCGCAGCACAUUGUAAGGAUGAGACUUAUGAUACGCGGUUCUUUGUUCGGGAGAAAUGACAUCAUACGGAGGAGCCACUAUUUGACUCAAACUAUCGACCAAUUCCUGAUUGUAAAUUAUUCCUUGCAAGGGGGCGAUUAUCGCCAUUUAACCAUCCGCCUUUCCAUUGAAAAAAUCGAUCGAGGCGUACCACAAUCCGUAUAUUCGGUCAAGGUCAUUUUCCGGAAUUGGCGGGAGAGC